rnacentral:rRNA from 1 species
CCAGACUCCUACGGGAGGCAGCAGUGGGGAAUAUUGCACAAUGGGGGAAACCCUGAUGCAGCAACGCCGCGUGAAGGAAGACGGUUUUCGGAUUGUAAACUUCUGUUCUUAGUGAAGAAGAAUGACGGUAGCUAAGGAGCAAGCCACGGCUAACUACGUGCCAGCAGCCGCGGUAAUACGUAGGGAGCAAGCGUUAUCCGGAUUUAUUGGGUGUAAAGGGUGCGUAGACGGGAAAUUAAGUUAGUUGUGAAAUCCCUCGGCUCAACUGAGGAACUGCAACUAAAACUGAUUUUCUUGAGUGCAGGAGAGGUAAGUGGAAUUCCUAGUGUAGCGGUGAAAUGCGUAGAUAUUAGGAGGAACACCAGUGGCGAAGGCGACUUACUGGACUGUAACUGACGUUGAGGCACGAAAGUGUGGGGAGCAAACAGGAUUAGAUACCCUCGUAA